UACGUAGGGCGCAAGCGUUAUCCGGAAUUAUUGGGCGUAAAGGGCUCGUAGGCGGUCCAUCGCGUCGGGAGUGAAAAGCUGGGGCUUAACCCCAGUCCUGCUUCCGAUACGGGUGGACUAGAGGUAGGCAGGGGAGAACGGAAUUCCUGGUGUAGCGGUGAAAUGCGCAGAUAUCAGGAGGAACACCGGUGGCGAAGGCGGCAUCCUGGACCGGCAUUGACGCUGAGUGAGCGAAAGCCAGGGGAGCAAACGGG
rnacentral:rRNA from 1 species